rnacentral:rRNA from 1 species
AACGUAGGAGACAAACGUUAUCCGGAGUUACUGGGCGUAAAGGGCGUGCAGGCGGUCUGUUAAGUCUGGCGUGAAAGCUCCCGGCUAAACCGGGAGAGGUCGUUGGAGACUGACAGACUGGAGGACGGUAGAGGCGAGUGGAAUUCCGGGUGUAGUGGUGAAAUGCGUAGAGAUCCGGAGGAACACCAGUGGCGAAGGCGACUCGCUGGGCCGUACCUGACGCUGAGACGCGACAGCAUGGGGAGCGAACGGG